UGGGGGGUCGUCCAACCGGCCAGGACACCGGGUUUUGGUCCCGGGAAUCGGGGUUCGAGUCCUCGCCCCCCAG
rnacentral:tRNA from 1 species